CAAAUUCCACACUGUCCCAAUUGUAUGCAUCAUGAAGGCACCCAUGUGUACUUUGCUGCAGAAAAAGGAAAACCAUGCGAUUUGGAAUGCACCCAGUCAAUGGAAUGUGUUUCUACCUUUCAUCUUGUUGCUUCAUGUUUCUCCUAUCCCUGCCUGCCGUGUCUACUUGUCCCAGGAGUCCUGAUCGGGGCUGCUGUAAGUCACCUCUGUACUGUAUCUCCCAUCAGAUAGAUCUCCAUCAGACUCAAAGGCUGUGUUCAGUCUGGUGUCCAUCAGUGUUCACUGGGAGGCGACUAUGGCUGGUUGACUACACCAAAUUGACCACCGUGACUCUCCUUGUCAUAAAUGAUCUGCUGCAGCAGGAGGGUGGCACACCUGAGGAGGAUCAACUCGUUAUCCACUGCCUGUAUCUACCUAGUGCUCUCCUAUACAUGAUCUCCAGCGCCAUUCUAAUCUGCCUUCUGCUCAUCUGUUCACUUGGGUUCAUCCAAGCCAGCUCCAGUCUACCCUCCGUGCAUGCCUGCCUGCCUGCAACCCCCGUCAUCUUGUCCACAUCACCCUCCAGCACAGUUUGUAGAAUAAAUCUUCACAUCUCUACUCCUUUAUCCGUUGUCUGCAUUUGGGUCCUAAAAUAUAAUCUCAACCAUAACACUAACAGAAGCCAGGAAACUUACUUUUGCCCCAGGUCCACCCACGAGCUGUGUGAAAGAGGCCCGGCAGACAGUGACACUGAUGCACAUUAGGAUUCACAGUGAGAGCGUGCUGAGCUGCCUGCCCACUCACCUCAACUGAUUAUCUACCACAUCCAGUGUGAGAGAUACAGAAACAGACAGACAAACUGCCAGCCUGGGGUUUCAACUCAUAUGGACAGUGUGCCGCUGACAAACUUUGCCAUGUGAGUAAAUAACUUGUUUCAAUAGUGUCUAUUAGUUAUAACAGAGUAGCUGAACUGAAUGGCACUGACAGGGAAGAGUAUGAAUGUGUCUAAAGUUUGUGUAUUGUCGUGCUCAUUCAGCUGUGAGCUGCAUCAAUGUUUUGUCCUUUGUUGGAGCACACCCCCUGCUCCUCAGUCAAUACUGCCUCAUUCUUGCAGAGAGGAGGAAACAGUGUCCUG